GAACCAGCAACUUGGGGGAACAUGCAGCUUCGGCUGGCUAUUUGCUUUUUUAUGUGUUUUUAUUUACAUUUACUGCGUACUUCGUUAGGCUUAAUGUGUUUUAAUUAUUUAUAGAUAGUGCUUACGGUAGAUAUCUAGUUUAAUUAAAAAAUACAAAGCUACGACAGCGUAGCAGUACUAAUUUUCAUUGCUUUAAUGGAUUACUUUGUUAAUUUAAUGGAUUAUUUUGUGAAAUUAAUUGCUUUUAUAUCCCCCGGGGAUAUAAAAUAACUUUGACUCGUUAUCAAUGCAAGCUUAUAGGAUCGAUUUUGUUGAUUAUAGUUCUAAGUAUAAUAGGAGGGUAGUUUGCUGCCCUUGGAUAGGGGAUUCGCCUGAUAAGGGUGAUUCGCCUGAGUUAAUCACUUAUUAUGAAUAUUUUAUACUUAGGUGUCUUGACCAAAUUACGUGCCAGCAGUCGCGGCAAUACGUAGAAGACUAGUGUUGUUCAUCUUAAACAGGUUUAUUGGGUACCUAGACGGUGAUUAUAGUCCACAACGGGAUACGUUUUCACUAGAGUUAUAUAUGAAAAGGUGAGAAUUUAAGGUGGAGAGUUGCAAUUUUAUGAUACUUUAAGGACUGACAGGGGCGAAAGCAAUCUUUUAUCUAAUAACUGACGUUGAGGGACGAAGGCUUGGGGAGCGAAUAGGAUUAGAGACCCUAGUAGUCCAAGCAGAAAAUUAUGAAUGCCAUAGGUUAGAUGUAUUUAAUCUAUAAAUGAAAGUGGAAGCAUUUCAUCUCAAGAGUAAUGCGGCAACGCUGGAACUGAAAUCAUUAGACCGCGUUUGAGACCAGUAG
rnacentral:rRNA from 1 species